GCCGGGCGUAGUGGCGGGCGCCUGUAGUCCCAGUUACUCGGGAGGCUCAAGCAGGGGAAUUGCUUGAACCCAGGAGCUGGAGGUUGCAGUGAGCUGAGAUUGCGCCACUGCACUCUAGCCUGGGUGACAGAGCGAGACUCUGUCU
ensembl:misc_RNA Metazoa_SRP Metazoan signal recognition particle RNA